ensembl:misc_RNA Metazoa_SRP Metazoan signal recognition particle RNA
GCUGGGCAUGGUGGCGCAUGCCUGUAAUCCCAGCUACUCCGGAGGCUGAGGCAGGAGAAUUGCCUGAACCCAGGAGGCAGAGGUUGCAGUGAGCCGAGAUCACACCACUGCACUCCUGCCUGGGCAACAGAGCAAAACUCUGCCUCAA